rnacentral:rRNA from 1 species
UGGGGAAUAUUGCACAAUGGGCGCAAGCCUGAUGCAGCAACGCCGCGUGGGGGAUGACGGCCUUCGGGUUGUAAACCUCUUUUAGUAGGGAAGAAGCGCAAGUGACGGUACCUGCAGAAAAAGCACCGGCUAACUACGUGCCAGCAGCCGCGGUAAUACGUAGGGUGCAAGCGUUGUCCGGAUUUAUUGGGCGUAAAGAGCUCGUAGGCGGUUUGUCGCGUCUGCUGUGAAAGCCCGAGGCUCAACCUCGGGUCUGCAGUGGGUACGGGCAGGCUAGAGUGCGGUAGGGGAGAUUGGAAUUCCUGGUGUAGCGGUGGAAUGCGCAGAUAUCAGGAGGAACACCGAUGGCGAAGGCAGAUCUCUGGGCCGUUACUGACGCUGAGGAGCGAAAGCAUGGGGAGCGAACAGGAUUAGAUACCCCUGUAGUCCCUGAGCGGGCUGGCAAGGCGCAU